rnacentral:rRNA from 1 species
UACGGGGGGGGCAAGCGUUGUUCGGAUUUACUGGGCGUAAAGAGCGCGCAGGCGGUCGUUCAAGUCGCGUGUGAAGGCCCCCGGCUCAACUGGGGAGGGUCACGCGAUACUGAUCGACUGGAAGGCAGGAGAGGGUAGUGGAAUUCCCGGUGUAGUGGUGAAAUGCGUAGAUAUCGGGAGGAACACCGGUGGCGAAGGCGGCGACCUGGGUAGAUACUGACGCUGAGGCGCGAAAGCGUAGGGAGCAAACAGG